rnacentral:rRNA from 1 species
UCUCGGCAAAUUAUCCUCAUAAGUUAGACGAAAAGAGGUACCAUUUAAAGUUUAAAUUAUUAAGGCCUUAUUUUUUAAGGAGAUAUCAUAAUUGAAUUUCAAAUGGUGGCACAGAAUCGGAGGCCACGACUGUUUACUAAAAACACAACACAGUGCAAUCAUUAAUAUGGUAGUAUACUGUGUGAAAUUUGCCCAAUGCCAUUAAUAUAAAAGCGGUUAUGGGAAACUGUAACUAAUUGAAAAUCUGGUUAAUAGCGGUCUUAACCAUGAGGAUCCUAAGGUAGCAAAAUAAAUUGGCCAUUAAAUGUGGUCCGGUAUCAAUAAUGUAACGAUGGCCUCACUGUCUCUACAACUUGCUCAGUGAAAUUGAAUUACGCGUGCAGAUGCGCGUUACCUCCAGUGGGACGGGAAGACCCUAUGCCGCUUCUACUGA